rnacentral:rRNA from 1 species
AAAGAGCUUGCUCUUUCCGGAAUUGAGUGGCAAACGGGUGAGUAACACGUAAACAACCUGCCUUCAGGAUGGGGACAACAGUUGGAAACGACUGCUAAUACCGCAUGACACAUAGGUGUCGCAUGGCACUUAUGUCAAAGAUUUAUCGCUGAAAGAUGGCCUCGCGUCUGAUUAGCUAGUUGGUGAGGUAACAGCCCACCAAGGCGACGAUCAGUAGGGGUUCUGAGAGGAAGGUCCCCACAUUGGAACUGAGACACGGUCCAAACUCC